UUUAGUAAGUCUUUGUGAGGUUUGAAUGGCAUAACUUACGUAAACAGCUGGCGCCCAGUAGUUGUCCCUUGAAUUAAUUGCUCUGCCCCCUGGCUUUGAGGUGCCUUUCUCUGCACUAGCUGCAGUGGGAGUGGCAACAGCUCACUGGAACAGUCCGCAGGAGAGAAGGUGCCUUUAAAAUCAGAUGCAAAAACCAGCCAGACAAAUAAUAGUGGAUUUAUGGCUCAUUAUUUUUGAAUUUGCCCUUUGUGUACCUUUACACCAGUAGUGAAGAUAAUGGAGUCAGAGAACAGUAAACUUUUUUGAAGCUCAGUGUAUGUACUUUAAAAUUCGCAAAUUAUAUACAUGCAGCUUCAUGAAUUUUCAAAGUGAAUGUAUCCAUGAAACCAGUGCCCAAAUCAAGAAAUGGAAUGCCUUUUUGAAGUUUGAGGCCGGGCGCGGUGGCUCACGCCUGUAAACCGAGCACUUUGGGAGGCCGAGGCGGGCGGAUCACGAGGUCAGGGAUCGAGACCAUCCUGGCUAACACGGUGAAACUCCGUCUCUACUAAAAAUACAAAAAAAUUAGCCUGGCAUGGUAGCGGGCGCCUGUAGUCCCAGCUACUCGUGAGGCUGAGGCAGGAGAAUGGCGUGAACCUGGGAGGCGGAGCUUGCAGUGAGCCGAGAUCACACCACUGCACACCAGUCUAGGUG
rnacentral:lncRNA from 1 species